ensembl:lncRNA
GCUCCGCCCGCCCUGCCCCCCACCACAAAGUCACUAUGUGGCCCCUGGCCGCUGCGAUCUCUUUCCUGAUGGUGGCCUGGUCAGGAGGCAUCUCUCGGGAGUACCCCAAGAUUCUCAAUGGCACCAAUGGGACCAACGGGUUCCUCCCUGGUGGCUACACCUGUAUCCCCCACUCUCAGCCCUGGCAGGCAGCCCUAAAAGUGCAAGGGCGGCUGCUCUGCGGGGGAGUCCUGGUGCACCCCAAAUGGGUCCUCACCGCGGCGCACUGUCUAAAGGAAGGGUACAGAGUGUACCUGGGCAAGCACGUCCUGGCGCGUGUGGAGGCUGGGGAGCAGGUGAGGGAGGUGGCUCGAGCUAUCCCCCACCCUCGGUACCAGAGCAGCCCCACCCACCUGAACCAUGACCACGACAUCAUGCUUCUGGAACUGAAGUCCUCUGUGCAGCUCACCAGGCACAUCCAGACCCUGCCCCUCUCCCACCAUCACUGCGCCCCCGGCACCUGCUGCCGGGUGUCUGGCUGGGGCACCACCACCAGCCCCCAGGUGACUUUCCCCCAAACCCUCCAAUGUGCCAACAUCGAGCUUCGCUCAGAUGAAGAGUGUCGUCAAGUCUACCCGGGGAAGAUCACACCCAACAUGCUCUGUGCCGGCACAAAAGAGGGUGGCAAGGACUCCUGUGAGGGUGACUCCGGGGGUCCCCUGGUCUGUAACGGAACACUUCAUGGCAUCAUCUCCUGGGGAGACUUCCCAUGUGGGCAGCCCAACCGGCCUGGUGUCUACACCCGAGUUUCUCAGUAUGUUCCAUGGAUCCAAGAAACAAUCCAAAAGCGGAAAACUUGUAAACAGGAAUGGACGAAGGGCCCACAAUAAAAGUCGGGUUGGCGUUCCUGCUCUCUUACUCGGUUUGCCCAGCCCUUCCCUGUCCCUCCCAAAGCGUUCCACUUGCACCAGCAACCCAUGUUCUCCAAACUUCCAAUGCCAGCUGACACUGCACGUUUCAAAAGCAUUCAGUCAUUUUCAGCAUCAUGCUCUCCCAGACGUUGCAUCACUGAAACAUCCCAGUCCCCUGAACGUCCCAAAGAAGACAAUACUCCGGAUGUCCCAACUGUUUCAACAUAAACCUAGAUCACCAUCUGAAUGUGCAAUCUGUGGAACACUUGAAUGCCUCCGUCUGUCCGUCUCAACGAUAUUCUAUGUUCUGUGAAUGGAACUUCCUUGACAACAUCCUAUACCCCUUCAAGUAUUUAUUCACUGCCAAUAUUCUAGAUCCGUCUAUGUUUUGUACUCAAGAGAGUUCUAGACUCCCAAGACAUUUCUUCCUGAAAAUAUUGUCUGCAGUAUAUUCUGCCCUGACAACAUUAUGUGCACCUCUGAUUCGUCACAGCUAACGUUGGAGCCGCAUGACGGUUCGUUCAUUCAAACGAGCCUCGGGAAAUUCCUGGAGACAUUUCUGGGUCUCCCCAGUUGUCCCAUUCCUACCGACAUUCCAUGUUCUGCCAGUAUUCCCUGUCUCUGAACCCCCGUGCGCAUUCAAUAUCAACAGUGCUCUAAACUCUAGGGUGCUGGGGUCGACUGCUCCAAGAGGCCUCCGUGCUCCUUUGCUGCUGCUGUUGUUCAGUUGCUAAGUCUGUCCGACUCUUUGUGACCCCAUGGACCGCAGCACACUAGACUCCUCUGUCCUUUACUAUCUUCCUGAAUUUUCUCAGAUUCAUGUCCGUUGAGUCAGUGAUACCAUCCAACCAUCUCAUCCCCUGCCUGCCCCCUUCUCCUCUUGCCUUCAAUCUUUCCCAACAUCAGGAUCUUUUCCAAUGAGUCGGGCUCUUCACAUCAGGUGGCCAGAGUACUGGAACUUCAGCUUCAGCAUCAGUCCUUCCAGUGGAUAUUCAGGGUUGAUUUCCUUGAGGAUCAACUGGUUUGGUCUCCUGGCAGCUAUUGUCCACCAAAUCUUCUGUUCUUUUACCCACAAUCCUUGUUCAGUACCCCGUGAUGUUACAUCUUUGUCUAUGACCCUCAAGUGCAGUGGUUAGAUGCCCAAGUGGAAAGUGUAACAAAGGCAAAGACCGUGAGACAGGAGCCCGCCUGAUGUAUUAGAUUAGAGAAGAAGAUGCAGAGGUUGGUGUGGAACGACUGCAAUGGCCCAGGUGACAGCAGAUGGUGCUUGGAUCAGGGUGCCAUCCUUGGAGGAGUUCAGGGAUCAGAUUUUAGAUCUGUUUGAGGGGAUUGUUACACAGCGUCUGUUGAUUUCAGCCAGAGAAUGUGAGAAAAAGAGGAGGAUCGAGGGGGCAGGAGGGAUAAAUUAGGAGCUUGGGAUUGAUGUAAACACACUACUAUAUAUAAAGUAGAUAAUCAACAAGGACCUACUGUAUAGCACAGGGAAGUCUACUCAGUACUCUGUAAUAACCUAUAUGGGAAAAGAAUCUGAAAAAGAAUGGCUAUAUGUAUAUGUUUAACUGAAUCACUUUGCUGUACACCAGAAACUAUCUCAACAUUGUAAAUCAACUAUACUCCAAUAUAAAAUAAAAUAAAAUAAAUUUUCUUUAAUGUUCA